GUCUAUAGCUCAGCUGGUUAGAGCGCACGCCUGAUAAGCGUGAGGUCGAUGGUUCGAGUCCAUUUAGACC
rnacentral:tRNA from 4 species